rnacentral:misc_RNA from 1 species
AAGUCGUAACAAGGUAACCGUAGGUGAACCUGCGGUUGGAUCAUUAAAAAUGGGAGGGCUGUGGAGGGUAGACUAGUUGGGUGCAAGCCCAAGUAGUCUGCCCUGCGACGGCCCUCGACUAGGGCACUCUCGGGUGCUCUGGGAAACCCAUGUGAACUGGAAUGUACUUGGGGGGAUGAGGAGAGUGGCAAGCAAGAGGAGAGGGGGUUAGGUGGUGCGCACGCUGGCUAGUUGCUAGUUGGCGCUCCACCCCGCCUAACCUCCUUCUUGGCCCACUUGUUUCUUCCCCCAACCACUACACCUAUGUAUACCCACUGAAUCAUAGAGACAAUGAGAAACAACUUUUGACAACGGAUCUCUUGGCUCUC